GUGGGGAAUAUUGGGCAAUGGGGGAAACCCUGACCCAGCAACGCCGCGUGAAGGAAGAAGGUUUUCGGAUCGUAAACUUCUAUCCUUGGUGAAGAUAAUGACGGUAGCCAAGAAGGAAGCCCCGGCUAACUACGUGCCAGCAGCCGCGGUAAUACGUAGGGGGCAAGCGUUGUCCGGAAUGAUUGGGCGUAAAGGGCGCGUAGGCGGCCCGGUAAGUCGGAAGUGAAAGUCCUGCUUUUAAGGUGGGAAUUGCUUUGGAUACUGUCGGGCUUGAGUGCAGGAGAGGUAAGCGGAAUUCCCGGUGUAGCGGUGAAAUGCGUAGAGAUCGGGAGGAACACCAGUGGCGAAGGCGGCUUACUGGACUGUAACUGACGCUGAGGCGCGAAAGUGUGGGGAGCAAACAGGAUUAGAUACCCGUGUAGUCC
rnacentral:rRNA from 1 species